rnacentral:rRNA from 1 species
UACGGAGGGUGCAAACGUUGCUCGGAAUCAUUGGGCGUAAAGCGCACGUAGGUGGCCUGUUAAGUCGGGUGUGAAAUCCCUGGGCUCAACCCAGGAAGUGCACUCGAAACUGGCAGGCUUGAGUACCGAAGAGGGUCGCGGAAUUCCCGGUGUAGAGGUGAAAUUCGUAGAUAUCGGGAGGAACACCAGUGGCGAAGGCGGCGACCUGGGCAGAUACUGACACUGAGGUGCGAAAGCGUGGGGAGCAAACAGG